GGUGGGGGCAGCUCUGCCUGGAGUCUCUCUGCUCCCCCCGUCCGCAGAGAGGCAGUGCUCCAGGGAAGUCCCCCGGAGUGGGGCCGGCACAGCUGGGCCGCGAGCCCCGUCCCCUCCCGCGCCAGGCGCGGCUGGAUCCGGGAUCAGCCCCUUUGUGUCCGGCCGCGCUGCGCCCUCGUCGCAGCCGCAUGGCCUGGGGGGCGCGUCCACACCUGGCAGGGCUGAGAAGAGGCGAGGCUGCGGGGGAGGUGUCUGAGGCUAAACUCUGACUGGGUCUGGCAGACUCUCGUGUUUCUUAAAUGCCUUUGAAUUGGGAUUUGGGUUGCCCUAGAUUCAGCUUGCCCACAGGAAUUCCAUUGAAUGCAGUAGAACUAUUCAUGAGUUAAGCUGUGUACAGAUAAAUGAGCUUCGUACCUGGGGAGAAAACAUCAUCGUCGUCGUCAUCAUCAAAAGCAAACCAAGUCUACCAAAUGGAACCAUAUUUUCUGGACAUCUGCCAUACAUCUGCAAAAAUACCUUUUUAUUGAAUAUCCUGGACACAACUGCAGAAGGUUCGUUCCUUCCUUACCCUUUCCCAAGUUUGUUCCUCAUGCGGUCACUUAAAUUUGUUGAUGAAUGCAUGUAGACCUGUGCUGAAGCAAGUCUACAAGGUGGACUCCUAGGCAAGUCUGGAGUGUUUGAAAAUCUAUAGGAGCUUUCAUUGGUGGCCAGUAGUUCUAAUGGCCCUUCCCCAUGGUCACAUUGAAAUUUCACGUGACAGAAAACUACUGCUGUUCUCAUUUCAACAUGCUUUAGUUAUAUUUGAAUAAUCUGUAGAAAGGAGGAAAUAUUUUCUGUGUAGAACAUGCAUGUCUAUUCCAUAUAAAAUAUGUUAUAUCACAUUUAUUGCUGUUGUCAGUGCUGGUCUUUCUUUUUAAUGAUCCGUUCCAGCCAUGGGAAUUAACUAGUUAAUUAACUAGUUAAAAAGUUAAAGAAAUGGCUAAUUUUUAACUGUAACUAGUUAAAUUUUUCAGCUGUCAACUUUUAACUUUAACUAGUUAAAAAAAAGAUUAACUUUAACUUUUUUUAAAGUAUAAGUUAAAAGUUAAAAAAAUUGAAAUCUGGCUUUCCCAGAGUUUUUUCUGACAGCUACUCCUAGGACUUAAAUGGAAUGAUAGUUCUUUAUUGAAACUCUAGGACUUCUUGUUUGAGAGACAGAGAGUAGCAUGCCUUCCUAUGAAAUAUGGUCUCUUAAGAACUGUAAUUCUCAGAGUUCCUUAGUUCAUGCUGGCAUUUUUCUGUGCAUUUGCAGAAGUCAACAGGGCAGCCAGUUGGCUGCAGGAGGGAACAAGCACAAGCAAGCAGAGACAUUGAUCCCAGUAAGAGUGGGAGCGAAUAGUGAGGGUGAAGCAGAUGAUGACUUUUUUUAGUUUUAAUGAAGAUUAGAACCAGCAGCCCAAGGGCCCAAGAAGUUGAGCAUUACUUCUCAUCUGUGAGAAACUUAUCUGAGAUGUCACCUACUAUGAAAAAACUACUCAUCUGUUAUAACACAAGCAUUCCUUCAUCUACCCCUGUAGAGUGAUUGUUUAGUAGUGGGGGCUUAGUUUUGCAAGACAGAAAAGGAAAAUUGUCAGAUGUACGUUUUGAAGCUUUUGCUGAAGUUCAAUAAGCAUGUUUAAACAGUUUUGCUAUGCAACUGAACAUUCUUUUUCUCAU